rnacentral:ncRNA from 1 species
CCACGAUAAUAGCAAACCUCCGCCAGUGGUUUGGGCGGUCGCCGAAAGGCAGGGACGCAAAGCCGUGCGCCUAAGUCCCCCAACCGUCAUUGCGAGGAUGCAAUCCAGGCGAUGACGAAGCAAUCUCAGAACGCGAGAUUGCUUCGGCAAUGCUUCGGUUUGCUGCCUCGCAAUGACGGUGCGAUGUAAUGCUUCGGCCCAUGCUUGGGCUUGCAUCCUCGCAAUGACGGUUGGGGGAUAAGGUAGGCAGGUUGCCGAA